GCGGUAUGCUUACACAUGCAAGUCGAACGGAACUUCGGGUUUAGUGGCGGACGGGUGAGUAACGCGUGAGAAUCUGCCUCUAGGUCGGGGACAACAAUUGGAAACGAUUGCUAAUACCCGAUGUGCAGCAAUGUGAAAGAUUUAUUGCCUAGAGAUGAGCUCGCGUCUGAUUAGCUAGUAGGUGUGGUAAUGGCGCACCUAGGCGACGAUCAGUAACUGGUCUGAGAGGAUGACCAGUCACACUGGGACUGAGACACGGCCCAGACUCCUACGGGAGGCAGCAGUGGGGAAUUUUCCGCAAUGGGCGAAAGCCUGACGGAGCAAUACCGCGUGAGGGACGAAGGCUUUUGGGUCGUAAACCUCUUUUCCCUGAGAAGAAGAUCUGACGGUAUCAGGGGAAUCAGCAUCGGCUAACUUCGUGCCAGCAGCCGCGGUAAUACGAGGGAUGCAAGCGUUAUCCGGAAUUAUUGGGCGUAAAGCGUCCGCAGGUGGCUCUGUAAGUCUGUCGUUAAAGAAUGGGGCUCAACCCCAUACAGGCGAUGGAAACUACAAGGCUAGAGUUUGGUAGGGGUCACGGGAAUUCCUAGUGUAGCGGUGAAAUGCGUAGAUUUUAGGAAGAACACCAGCGGCGAAAGCGCGUGACUGGGCCAGUACUGACACUCAUGGACGAAAGCUAGGGGAGCGAAUGGGA
rnacentral:rRNA from 1 species